UACGUAGGGUGCGAGCGUUGUCCGGAAUUAUUGGGCGUAAAGAGCUCGUAGGCGGUCUGUCGCGUCGGUCGUGAAAACCUGCAGCUUAACUGUGGGCGUGCGGUCGAUACGGGCAUGACUGGAGUUCGGCAGGGGAGACUGGAAUUCCUGGUGUAGCGGUGAAAUGCGCAGAUAUCAGGAAGAACACCAAUGGCGAAAGCAGCUUUCUGGGACGGUACUGACGCUGAGACGCGAAAGCGUGGGGAGCGAACAGG
rnacentral:rRNA from 1 species